rnacentral:rRNA from 1 species
GUGCCAGCAGCCGCGGUAAUACGUAGGGGGCAAGCGUUGUUCGGAUUUACUGGGCGUAAAGGAUGUGUAGGCGGAUAUUUAAGUGAGAUGUGAAAUCCCCGGGCUUAACUUGGGGACUGCAUUUCAAACUGGAUGUCUAGAGUGCAGGAGAGGAAAGCAGAAUUCCUGGUGUAGCGGUGAAAUGCGUAGAGAUUAGGAAGAACACCAGUGGCGAAGGCGGCUUGCUGGACUGUAACUGACGCUGAGGCAUGAAA